AAGCGGUGGAGCAUGUGGUUUAAUUCGAAGCAACGCGAAGAACCUUACCCGGCCUUGACAUCCCGAUGGAUGCGGAGCAAUGUCCGCAGCCCUCCGGGGCAUUGGAGACAGGUGGUGCAUGGUUGUCGUCAGCUCGUGUCGUGAGAUGUUGGGUUAAGUCCCGCAACGAGCGCAACCCUUAUCCUUAGUAGCCAGCAGGUAAAGCCGGGCACUCUAGGGAGACUGCCGGGGACAACCCGGAGGAAGGCAGGGAUGACGUCAAAUCAUCAUGCCCCUUAUGGCCGGGGCUACACACGUGCUACAAUGGCGCAGACAGAGGGAGGCGACCCUGUGAAGGCAAGCAAAUCCCGGAAAGAGCGCCCCAGUUCGGAUUGUAGUCUGCAACCCGACUACAUGAAGCCGGAAUCGCUAGUAAUCGCGGAUCAGAAUGCCGCGGUGAAUACGUUCCCGGGUCUUGUACACACCGCCCGUCACACCAUGGGAGCCGGGAAUGCCCGAAGUCGGUGACCCAACCGUAAGGAGGGAGCCGCCGAAGGCAGGCCUGGUAACUGGGGUGAAGUCGUAACAAGG
rnacentral:rRNA from 1 species